GUUGGUUCUCUCUCAUGAGCCCCCUCACCAUGUGAUGUCCCAAGCUGCCUUGGGACUCUGCAGAGGGUCCCCAUAAGAGGAAGGCCCCGACUAGAUGGAAUCCUUUGUCCCUGGACUUCUCAGCCUCCAGAACUCUUUCCCAUUGAGUGUUUUCAAUGGGAAAUGUCUAACUGCUCUGUGGGUGUACACCACGGCCAGUUGCUAAUUUUGGAACACUUGUGAAUCCUGGGCCCAGAGUCAUGACCAAUACUGGAUUCCCCAGGAUCAACCAUCUGAGCAGAUACCUUGGAAUGUCCCCAGAUUUCAGAGCCUCGGACCAGCAGCAACACACUCUGAAGUAGGUCUCAGAAGACAAAAAGCUGAAAUCAACUCAUGCUUCCUGCUACACAGAAUCCACUGAGAGGAAAAGGAAACUUCACCGAAACUUCAGAAAGCUACAGAAAUGACAUCCAUUUUCACAAUCCCAGAAGGAAAGAUGCAUCUGAAGGGAAUAAAAACAGAGCAAUGGAAGAGUAUUUGUUAAAAUAAAUGGCUUUGACAGGGCAUUUUCUCUAAAGGUCUCCUUUGCCUCAAAUAGUACUCCUGCCUUCAGUCCAUCUUGCAUGCCACCCAGCUGUGGGCAUCCUGGCAGUUGCUGCCAUGUCCUUGCCUAAAAGCCUCCACCCCCAACCAACCCACC
rnacentral:lncRNA from 10 species